UUGAAAUGAAAUGUCUAUAUUUCAUCCGGCGCCGCAGCGCCAUAAAGGAGCUAAAAGCUCCCAAAACAAUAGACCUUGCGCCGCGGCUCCAAAACUCCAGUGCCGCGGCGCCGGAUGUGCACCAUUUCCAGAGAGGGCAGAGCUGCGGCUCUGACUCCCCAGCGCUGCCAACUCUAUAUUCCAGCAGCAUACAGCGCUGCGGCGCUGAUGCAAUAUUAUUUUUUUUUCAAUUUUGAAAAUUGGAAGUAAAAGGGUGUCAGGCAGCAGCCCCACCUCCUACAAAAACCUCCUUUUUCCCCCGUUUCAUUCAUUCAAACCCUAACCCUCAAAUUCCUAAAAUCCCUUCUCCCAAAUUUCCUACACCCAUGCAUAAAAUCCAUCCAAAAACUCCAUCUUUCCCUACAGGCAACAAGAAUCCAAGAGAAUAUUGUCAUCAUCAUCAUUCUUCUCAAGUUUAUGAAUGAAGAAGGAAUGAAGUGUGCAGGGGUGGAGUGGUGCAAAAGUGUGCUGACCAUGCUUCAAUCGUCUAAGCACAACAACAAGGUCAAAAAAAUCGCACGAGUUGCAAUUAAAUUGCAACUUUAUAAUGGAUCAGGAUCUUGGUGGACAAAAUCCCACGAUGCUCAAUGAUCUCCCGCAAAAUGAUGGACUAGAAGACCAUUAAAUACACGGUAAGGCAUAAAAUUUGCAGCAGGCCUUCAAGUUUGUAUUUUAAAUUUUGUUUGGAUUCUGUUUGAUUCACAAAAAAUGAUUUUCCUUGGUGUUUUUUUUUUUUUUGUGUUUGUUAGCUAAACAUGAAACACAAAAAUAUUUUACAAUCAAAGUGUUAAAUAAAUACAUAAUAACAUUUUUUAUUUAGUUAGGGCUCUUGAUACCCAUCGAAAAUAUAUUCAGAUUCUUUGUUUUUUUUUUCUUUUUCCUUUUUUCUUUUGUUAUAAUUUUAAGUUAAUUUCUUUAUUCUAAAAUUUAGUAGGUCUGCUUAUUUUGAUAGAGUUUACUGAGAUUGAUGGGAAAAAUUCUUGCCCCAUCAUUUUAUUCUUACAAUUUAGGUUUAAAAUUUAUGUGAAGAUUAGACCCUUAACUUAUAAUUUCUUUUCUAAGUAAUUAUGAAUUAAAUUUUAAAUCUCUUGCCAUUAGAUUUCGAUGUGAUGAUUAUUGAUUUUGAUUAGGAGGAUGGUUUAGGACUUGGAAGGAGCAAGAUUUGUGUGGGUUGAAUUGCAUGGCUUUUUCAAGAAAAUGGGUUCAAAAGUUAAGACGUUGAACAAAUGGGCUUUUAGAAGUGUUAUGCAUAGGAGGAAAAGAAAAGGAAAAAUAGAAAAAAAAAAAAAAAAAAAACAGGGCCAAGCAAAGAGAUGAGGUAAUUUUGUGAUAAAAAAUCCACCUCAAUAAUUUUUAACUGACGUGGUGAUGGAUCCCAAUGAGCUAAUAAUUUGACUAGCUUAGGUAACUAUCAAGGAGAGAAUUCUCAGAGAUAAUGAGGGUAACAGGUUGAUGUUCUUUUCUACAUCAAUGGGUGUUACAACAUCAAAUGUUGCUGAACUCCUUGCUGUCAGAUAUGUGUUUCAGCUUUUUUCUGCAUUGAGUUGGGUGCAAAGGUAUGAUUUGAUUAUUGAAAGUGAUUCUCAUAAUGCUAUUAAAUGAAGUUUGCAACCUGAAGAGGCUUUGUGGAAGUUCAGAGGUAUUGUAAUGCAGAUUGAAGCAUUAGAAAAGAAGGUGAAUGGAUGCAGUUUGCAACAGAUUCUGAGAUCCGGGAAUGAAGCAGCUGAUAAUCUAGCGAAAGCCGGGGUGCAAAGGGGAGAGGAUCUGAUUAGAUAAAGGGUACUGAUGCAGAGACGGAGGAGCAUUAGUAAGAAAGAGGUUGUAUGCGGUUAAGCAUGAUACAAGGCGGUUGGAUUGUUAGUGUUUUUGUGUCUGUCAGCAACAAAAUCUUUUUGUUAUUGCUGGGAUCUUUUGUUGAUAGCUAAUUUGUUUCCCUGUGUCUUUUUAAUUGGGAUGCAGGGUUGUUUUGUUUUUGAGUGCUGUGUGGUCUCUGUGGGAAAAGGGGUGGGAUGCUGUAGGUUUUUUUGUUCCCUGCAGUUCUGUACAGGGGUUGGCACCUAUGGCGUGGGUUGCCUGUAUGUAUUUGGCUGUAUAGUUUUAUGAUCAAUACAAAUCUUUGCACUUCAAAAAAAAAAAAGAAUUGCAGCGGAGGAAAACAGAAGCAAGGGCGCUGCAGUGUCAAGCCUACAGCGCCGCAGCUCUGUCUCCAUCAGCAGCAACCCCUCACCAAACAGAACCUCCAGGGCUGCAGCGCUGUCCAGCACUACAAACACUGCCUUUGGCAGUAAGCUCGGUCACUCCUUUACAAGACAGUAGCUAUAGCGCCGUGGCGCCAUGUUCCCAGCACUGCAGUGCUGUCCAGCGAAGCAACACUGGCUUUGGCAGUGAACUCAGCGCUGGGGCGCCAACAUUUAGAAGUCUGGAGUGGAGUGGUGUAGAAAGAUGCCUUUUUAGAGCUGAAAGGCAGAAGAGGCAGGGAUGCCAUUUCUUGUUUUUCAGUUUUGAUUUGUUUUCUUCUUACUCAUUUUCCCUGCAACCAAACAUAGCUUUAAUUCUCUCUCUCUCUCGCCUAUUGGACCUCUUAUUAACUAAGAUGCUUUUAGGGGAUAAGAAUAAGAUAUGUUUUCUGAAU
rnacentral:sRNA from 1 species